UGCAAGUCGAGCGGAACGAGUUAUCUGAACCUUCGGGGAACGAUAACGGCGUCGAGCGGCGGACGGGUGAGUAAUGCCUAGGAAAUUGCCUUGAUGUGGGGGAUAACCAUUGGAAACGAUGGCUAAUACCGCAUAAUGCCUACGGGCCAAAGAGGGGGACCUUCGGGCCUCUCGCGUCAAGAUAUGCCUAGGUGGGAUUAGCUAGUUGGUGAGGUAAUGGCUCACCAAGGCGACGAUCCCUAGCUGGUCUGAGAGGAUGAUCAGCCACACUGGAACUGAGACACGGUCCAGACUCCUACGGGAGGCAGCAGUGGGGAAUAUUGCACAAUGGGCGAAAGCCUGAUGCAGCCAUGCCGCGUGUAUGAAGAAGGCCUUCGGGUUGUAAAGUACUUUCAGUUGUGAGGAAGGGGGUGUCGUUAAUAGCGGCAUCUCUUGACGUUAGCAACAGAAGAAGCACCGGCUAACUCCGUGCCAGCAGCCGCGGUAAUACGGAGGGUGCGAGCGUUAAUCGGAAUUACUGGGCGUAAAGCGCAUGCAGGUGGUUCAUUAAGUCAGAUGUGAAAGCCCGGGGCUCAACCUCGGAACUGCAUUUGAAACUGGUGAACUAGAGUACUGUAGAGGGGGGUAGAAUUUCAGGUGUAGCGGUGAAAUGCGUAGAGAUCUGAAGGAAUACCAGUGGCGAAGGCGGCCCCCUGGACAGAUACUGACACUCAGAUGCGAAAGCGUGGGGAG
rnacentral:rRNA from 1 species